rnacentral:rRNA from 1 species
AGAGUUUGAUCAUGGCUCAGAUUGAACGCUGGCGGCAGGCCUAACACAUGCAAGUCGAGCGGUAGCACAGAGAGCUUGCUCUCGGGUGACGAGCGGCGGACGGGUGAGUAAUGUCUGGGAAACUGCCUGAUGGAGGGGGAUAACUACUGGAAACGGUAGCUAAUACCGCAUAAUGUCGCAAGACCAAAGUGGGGGACCUUCGGGCCUCAUGCCAUCAGAUGUGCCCAGAUGGGAUUAGCUAGUAGGUGGGGUAAUGGCUCACCUAGGCGACGAUCCCUAGCUGGUCUGAGAGGAUGACCAGCCACACUGGAACUGAGACACGGUCCAGACUCCUACGGGAGGCAGCAGUGGGGAAUAUUGCACAAUGGGCGCAAGCCUGAUGCAGCCAUGCCGCGUGUGUGAAGAAGGCCUUCGGGUUGUAAAGCACUUUCAGCGGGGAGGAAGGCGUUAAGGUUAAUAACCUUGGCGAUUGACGUUACCCGCAGAAGAAGCACCGGCUAACUCCGUGCCAGCAGCCGCGGUAAUACGGAGGGUGCAAGCGUUAAUCGGAAUUACUGGGCGUAAAGCGCACGCAGGCGGUCUGUCAAGUCGGAUGUGAAAUCCCCGGGCUCAACCUGGGAACUGCAUUCGAAACUGGCAGGCUAGAGUCUUGUAGAGGGGGGUAGAAUUCCAGGUGUAGCGGUGAAAUGCGUAGAGAUCUGGAGGAAUACCGGUGGCGAAGGCGGCCCCCUGGACAAAGACUGACGCUCAGGUGCGAAAGCGUGGGGAGCAAACAGGAUUAGAUACCCUGGUAGUCCACGCCGUAAACGAUGUCGAUUUGGAGGUUGUGCCCUUGAGGCGUGGCUUCCGGAGCUAACGCGUUAAAUCGACCGCCUGGGGAGUACGGCCGCAAGGUUAAAACUCAAAUGAAUUGACGGGGGCCCGCACAAGCGGUGGAGCAUGUGGUUUAAUUCGAUGCAACGCGAAGAACCUUACCUGGUCUUGACAUCCACAGAACUUACCAGAGAUGCAUUGGUGCCUUCGGGAACUGUGAGACAGGUGCUGCAUGGCUGUCGUCAGCUCGUGUUGUGAAAUGUUGGGUUAAGUCCCGCAACGAGCGCAACCCUUAUCCUUUGUUGCCAGCGGUUAGGCCGGGAACUCAAAGGAGACUGCCAGUGAUAAACUGGAGGAAGGUGGGGAUGACGUCAAGUCAUCAUGGCCCUUACGACCAGGGCUACACACGUGCUACAAUGGCAUAUACAAAGAGAAGCGACCUCGCGAGAGCAAGCGGACCUCAUAAAGUAUGUCGUAGUCCGGAUUGGAGUCUGCAACUCGACUCCAUGAAGUCGGAAUCGCUAGUAAUCGUAGAUCAGAAUGCUACGGUGAAUACGUUCCCGGGCCUUGUACACACCGCCCGUCACACCAUGGGAGUGGGUUGCAAAAGAAGUAGGUAGCUUAACCUUCGGGAGGUCGCUUACCACUUUGUGAUUCAUGACUGGGGUGAAGUCGUAACAAGGUAACCGUAGGGGAACCUGCGGUUGGAUCACCU